UUAAAUUGAAGAGUUUGAUCAUGGCUCAGAUUGAACGCUGGCGGCAGGCCUAACACAUGCAAGUCGAACGGUAACAGGAAGAAGCUUGCUUCUUUGCUGAC
rnacentral:rRNA from 2 species